UAAAACCUAAAGAUUAACCGCUCAACAACAAAAGACUCCUCACGCUACAUCCUUACCGCUUCACAUACACAACCGCCUCUUCCCACAUGCCACAACCAUAGUUUUCUCCCCACAGGGAUUUGUUACUCACUGUUCCCCUACUUAUCUCACUUUUCAUACUCUAUCGAUUCAUCUGGGAAAGGAAACUCUGGUUUAUUCACUACUAACCUCUAGGUUUUUCCCUCGCCACGGUUUUCCUCACCAAAUGCCAAUGAAGUCUAGAAAACAAAAUAUACUUUCACCCACUGUUUGUAAUCCUUUCAAAGCUAAUCUUUACCAUUUAUGCCAUUUUCUUAUUCUUCUAAAAUUGUUUACAUCCUAAUCUUACUGUAUAGGUAUGGAAAACCAAAGAUUGGGGUGCCAAAAUACCGUGAAGAGAUUGAGGUACGUCCAAAACUUCUUCACUACUAUACUUUUUGCACAAUUCAUAACCAUUGGUGUGAAUAUUCUGGAAUACUCUAAUUUUCUUCCAAAAUCAAUAACUAAGGAUGUAAACAUUAUGUUAAGAUUCUAAAACACAUUAAACUUUGUAAAAAACAAAUAUUAUUCACUACUAUAUGAUUUUAACACAAUAUAACUAAUGUUUAAAUAUUAUGAAAUACUAUAAUUAUUUACCUCAUUACUGCUUUUUACUUGGAAGCAAAGUUCGACAACAAUGUCUUUAAAUGUUGAUUAUAUAUAUAGAUUAUUCCUACAUUAAUAUUACUAUAUUUGGCCUGCACAUUUCCUUUGCGUUCUGAUUGAAGUCCGAAAUAUGCAUUUAACAAAGCGACAAAAGCAAAAUGAUCAGAAACAUAUUUUUUCCAGAGCAAUAUUGUAAAACCAGAAAAUCUAUUCUGCAAUUUUCUUAUAUCUUGCUCUUUUCCUAUAUUCAAAAGACAUGCCUCUUUUUAAUCCUAAGUCAUGCCUCCUACUCGAUCUUCUUAUUUCUCUUCCUACAAAACUCACUCCUUCUACAGUAAUAUCUAUAAAUGUUAUUUUUUCGCGCUUAUAGUGGAUAACAACUGGAUGAAUCCUGAUAUCUUUAGACUAACUAAGGGGGAAAAGAGAGGUCACGCCUUCAAUAAUGAUAUCUAUAAAUAUUGUUUACAUAUAGUUUAGUAUUAUGGUGUUUAGACUGUACUAGAUUUUUAUUGUAGCCUUAUAUUUUGGUACUGCAUAGUUGUUCAACUUUCUGUUACUUCUCUUUGUCUAAAAAUCACGCAUUCCAUAAUAAUAUGUAUAAAUAUUUUUUAUAUAUAGUUUACUGAUAUGAAGUUUAAAUUGCCUUAACUUUUUAUCGUAGCCUCAGAAAAUGAUAUUGGAUUGUAGUUCAACUUCCUCCUCUAUUAGCAUUUCUUUUUCUACACUUUUAUGCUCUGCUUGCAGCGAAAUAUAUCAUGCAAUUAUCAAAGGUAAAUUUUUAUGCAUGCUGCAUUGCAUUUGUCAAUGUAACAAGUGCAACUAAAGAACUUGAAGUCUCCAUAUAUUUGAUGUAUCGAAAUAUCUCACAAAUGUGGAUUGAAUAUUUGAAAAAUAAACAAGUACAACUAUCAAUAAUGCAAAGAUUGACUUUCAAUAUAUUUGCGUAUGUAAAAAUAUUAUAUAUAUUAUUGCAUUUAUGACUUGUGAAUUACAUUAUUGUAGAUAAAUAGUUUAUAAUGUACUUUUCUGGACUCGUCAUUAGGUCAUCAUCCUCAGAAAAAUUUAUUCCACAUACAAUAUGUUAUUUUCAAGGUUGAAGUGAAGAUUUUCAGACUAUUAUGAGUGCAAAUUGGAUAUCCUUCUCUCAAAUAAUUUGCCAAAGUUGUUAUCAACAUCUAAAGACAACGCAAACCCGAUCAUUACAUAUGAUAUUGUGGAGUAAGGAACUUUACAAAGCGAAUAUUGUGACUUACUCUUGCAAUAACUUAUUACGAUUACAAUUGUUUGGUUAUCUUAUGUCAAGGGCUAUAUAUGGAGUAGAAAGAACAACUAUUUAAUCCGGUAUAUAAUAUUUUCACUGUAUGCAAGUCCAUUUCAUUCUAACUAUGUGUCUUAAAUAAACUAAGGUUAUCAAAAGUACUUUUACAAAUUAAAGUAUGUUGCCAUGUGUUUGCAGAUUCGAUUUAUUUAGCACUCAGUUAGUUCAAAUGGUAAACAACUUAAUGUUCACGGUUUGCAGGAAAAUAUGACACAAACUGCGUGAAGAGUAUGUCUUUGUUAUUGAAAAAGAAGUUCAUUACAUAUUUGUAGCAGCGUUAGACUAUAAGUUUAGAUUAAUUGAUUAUGUAAAAGUGAGGGUUAGAGAAAGAAGAAAGAAAAGGGUCGGAUGAAUAAGUACUCAAGUAAUGGAGAGAUACAUUUGAUUAAUUCUUUUCCUUUU